GUUCAGUGACCAGCCAGAGGAAGACGACACGACAGCAUCCUCCUCAGGGGAUAGGUACUCUGUAUAAAGUCAAUUAGUACACACCUGGGCCCACUAAUUGCUUUGUGACUUCCUCUAUAUAGGUGUGCCAGGAGAGCAGCUGGUGGAGAAUUGGGAGUAGAGACGGGGACAUGUCAGGCCGUCUGAUUUUCCUACCUCAUAGAAAGCUUAUUUUACUGGGGCACCUUGGCUCUCUGUUAACCAAGGACACUUCGCACACAUCCCACUGUGAGAAAAGACAUUGAACAACAAAUCUUGUCCUUUCCACGGCAAGCAAACCGGUAUUCCUGGAUGAAGGGGGGCGUGGAUCAGGAAUACCUCAGCCCAGACCUAAAUCUGCAGAUCUGAAUCUGAAGAUUCUGCUACAAUGUGUGUGUGGCGUGAGGGCAUUGCACACAGAGGGUCCAUUGACGUGGCAAGUUGUGUAUUGAAGUGGGUCCAAACACAUUUUUCCACUCUAACAAAGCCAAAAGAAGUCAAGCUCAUCAUAUUCAGUGACCGGUGUUGUGGUCAGAAUAACAACUGGUGCAUGUUGAAUUUGAUGUCUAUGCUGGUAUCCAUGGGCUACUUCACUCAGGUUGAACAGAGGUUCAUGGUGUCCUUCCUUCCAUAUGAUCUGUCUUUUUCCGCUAUUGAGAAGAGAUACAAGGUGUCAACUCUGCAUACCGCUGAUGUGAGACAGAUGACCCUGGAGUCUAGGCAACAGAAUCCAUUCAAGGUCAUGCAGUGGGCUGCUUAACAAUGGAACCUCUACACCAGACAGAGCCACAGUCAAUACGAUUGAUGGAGGUCAUGGUUGGUCACUAAACCAAAGAAUGGAGCAAGACCCCCAGCGCCAUCGUUCUCCAAGGCCUUCCCCAGAGACAACGAGAAUCCUUCGCCAAUCCAGAAAGAACCAGGACCUCAUGACGAUGAGGAGCAAUUUGCCUACUGCUGCACGGUCCUUCUAUCAGGCACUUGAAGUGAAGCCUCGGGACAUUUUUGGCAUACAUGUUGGUAGCAUUGAUGUCACUUCAACUAGAAGUUGAUAUAAUUCCUCACUUGGUAUAUUAACGGAUUUGGGUGGUUUCCGUUGUCAGGGGCCAUAGGCUAUUUGUAUCAAUCCAAUUAGUAGGUUAGAAGUGUUCCUCCUCUGUUCUUUCAUUCUGCAUGAUACUUUGCCCUCACAAAGUUGUCACUUACCACAAGUAUUUUCCAGCAAAGCAUAGAAAAAGCUUUUAUUUUGUUCUACUCAAUGUGGCUCUCUAAACAGGUGCCCGGCCUUGAUACAAAGUUGCUAUGUUUAGCCAUUAAGGCUGGUCUAAGUGUUACUUUUGUGUUUUUAGUUUGUAUAGUAGUGGUUUAUAUUGUUGAAUUAUUUUGUUAUACGUCUAUACAUUUUUCUACCUGAAGUGUUGCUUCACCAACCGCUGAAUAUAACGUUUAUUGUUAAUAGAAUAGCUUCAAUUCAUUGGGGCAUGAACGGUGUUGAAAGAGUUCUACAGGGAUGCUGGCUCAAUGGAGAGAGAUGGCUGGUGGACUAUUCUUGAUACUUUUUUUUA